rnacentral:rRNA from 1 species
AGUGAACGCUGGCGGUAGGCCUAACACAUGCAAGUCGAACGGCAGCACAGUAAGAGCUUGCUCUUACGGGUGGCGAGUGGCGGACGGGUGAGGAAUACAUCGGAAUCUACUUUUUCGUGGGGGAUAACGUAGGGAAACUUACGCUAAUACCGCAUGCGACCUACGGGUGAAAGCAGGGGAUCUUCGGACCUUGCGCGAUUGAAUGAGCCGAUGUCGGAUUAGCUAGUUGGCGGGGUAAAGGCCCACCAAGGCGACGAUCCGUAGCUGGUCUGAGAGGAUGAGCAGCCACACUGGAACUGAGACACGGUCCAGACUCCUACGGGAGGCAGCAGUGGGGAAUAUUGGACAAUGGGCGCAAGCCUGAUCCAGCCAUACCGCGUGGGUGAAGAAGGCCUUCGGGUUGUAAAGCCCUUUUGUUGGGAAAGAAAAGCAGCAGGUUAAUACCCCGCUGUUCUGACGGUACCCAAAGAAUAAGCACCGGCUAACUUCGUG